CCUUCGAUAGCUCAGUUGGUAGAGCGGUGGACUGUAGCGAGGGUCGAUCAACUGUUACAAUGCAUUUCAAAGUGCAUCUGACGAUCACCUGUGCAUAGAAAUCCACAGGUCACUGGUUCAAAUCCGGUUCGAAGGA
rnacentral:tRNA from 1 species